rnacentral:lncRNA from 1 species
AUUAAUUGAAGCAUGGGGACGAUCCUCUCUAACCCACCCCGAGUUCCCGGAGGAGGAGACGGGUCCGGCCGGUCAUGUUAACCUAAUUCGUGCAAGCUUGCUUGGCCAAUUUUUGUGCUCCGUGGACCCUCUUCCGGCCGUCACGCACAUCCCUGAUAUGCUUCUUAUGCUGCAUCAACCUAACCACAGGCAGUAGGCUGGAUCUCCGCCGAGGAUGUUGAUCCCAUCUGCCGACCAUCUCCGGCCGUAUCGCGUCUCCGAUGCACGCGUAUGCGUCUCGCCCGCGUUGCACGCCACGGCCAUAAAGUCGUGCCGGUCUCGGAGAUCCCCGCAAAGAUUUCUUCUCGUCCCUUCGAUAUUACCCGUCCCCCCUUCAUUUAACGCGGAAUCAGAGGCAAGCUUUUGACUGCAUCUCCCCCUCCCCCUCUCCGUCUUCGUUGGAAUACUUCGAUCCGGAAAUACAUGAUGAUGCCUUUGGUUUAAUUGCAUGUCUAUCACCUACUCAUCUUGAGUUGUAUCAUAAUCAUCAGGCAGAGGAUAGAGAUGGAAGCGGGCUAAGUGAAUCCGUAGAAGACAGCCGGAGAGCUUCAUUUUUGUAUUCAUUUGCUUAAAUCAUUUCCUCGUCCAUAAAUACCCAAUUAAACCAAUCGGUAGUGCUGCUUGGAACGAUCUGAAAUCAUUGACCUUGUUUUCCGUUCUUGCAUGUCGUACGUGCAUGGCCGCUCGUCCUUGAAGUUCUUCAGUCUUCUUCCUCCUCCCCUCCUACCAUUCAUGUUGAAAUAAGAUGAAUGAUGCUUAUGACGCAGGCCUCUUCUUCGGAGACAACAAAUGGUAUCGUAGAUCAUCAAAGCCGAAGUCCCAACGGCUACACAUCUGAUGGCGACCGGUCGAGGCCCUCGUAAUCUUUGUAGCCGCAUUCAAGGCCAUGGGGGCCGCCAUGGUUGGGACAUUCAUACAUGCACCAUUCCCCGUGUUCAUCAAUGCAACCCGCCCUCUUUAAGCUGGGUAUCAGAUGGGCGUCUGAAUCUGAAUCACCUCUGUCACUGCUUGCAGGCCAAGAUUCUCUCCCUCCUCUCUCUUUCAUACAUCUUUCGUGGUGCCAUUGAAUGAGUCUCACUGGAGCUUUCGCUGAAGCCCUCGAAAGGGAGGUAUCAUCAGUACUGAAGCUGCCAUAUACGGGCACCAUUAUUUUAUGUCGACACACACACACAUACAAUGAUGCUUUAAGUCUCUUGUGAGUUAUAUGCAUAUCUGCGGCCUUCCAUGUGUGAUCUUUGGAGGGCCGCCAAAUCAGAUUGAGACAGCCAGGCAUUUAUCGCUUGCCUGAUGAUUUCUUUUCGAAACAUAUCUACCAUAGUAUUCUUCUGUUGCAAUUAUUAUGAUGUCUGGCUUUCUGCUUUGCCCUUCCACUGGUAGGCUUAAGUUUGGUUGCUAAAACAAAGUAGGAAUCAUAUCAUUGGAAUUUGUUGGAAGUUUCCUGCAUUAAAAUGACCACACAAGGGCUCGUGAUGCAG